UGGCGCUUGACCAUGCUACUGA
rnacentral:miRNA from 1 species